ACAUGGAAUGUGGAAGCAGUCAAGACAAGAUGUCUGACUGAAGAAUGCCAAUACUUUGGCUUCUCAGAGAAUGAUAACUUGUGUUCACAAUGUUAUGCAAAAGCAUUGCAACUUGAGUAUGAUUUAGAGUCUGAGAAGAAGAUCAAAGCUGAACAAGAACGAGCUAGAAGGAACUGGCAAAUAGCACAACAGCAAAAGAAUACAAAUCAUGACUUGCACACGCUGUAUUAUGUAAAUGAACCCCACUAUUAUCAGAUAAUUGUUGAGAGACAAAGUGUUUCAGCACCUUCGUCACCAGUAUAAAGGCGACCAUUUAAACUAAUACCAUGUGUAACUAAAGGUUGUGGAUGUUUUGGUGCAGAAGAAGAUCAGGGUCUUUGUCAUAAAUGUUUAAAGUAGAAAGAGAUGUUUUUCUUAGAAUAGACAAUUGGUGUGAACAGUUUUCAACAAAUUUUGUUUCAAUGAACAAGAAAUACUGUCAUUCCAUAAGGCUUAAAUCCUCAUAUCUAAAGAACUGUAUUGAUAUUAGUAAUAAAGUAAUAUAUUCGCUUCCUUAUA